rnacentral:rRNA from 1 species
GAUCCUGGCUCAGGAUGAACGCUAGCUACAGGCUUAACACAUGCAAGUCGAGGGGCAGCAUCAUCAAAGCUUGCUUUGAUGGAUGGCGACCGGCGCACGGGUGAGUAACACGUAUCCAACCUGCCGACAACACUGGGAUAGCCUUUCGAAAGAAAGAUUAAUACCGGGAUGGGCAUAAUUAUUCCGCAUGGGAUAAUUAUUAAAGAAUUUCGGUUGUCGAUGGGGAUGCGUUCCAUUA